UGGGGAAUAUUGCACAAUGGGCGCAAGCCUGAUGCAGCCAUGCCGCGUGUAUGAAGAAGGCCUUCGGGUUGUAAAGUACUUUCAGUCGGGAGGAAGGUGUCAAGGUUAAUAACCUUGGCAAUUGACGUUACCGACAGAAGAAGCACCGGCUAACUCCGUGCCAGCAGCCGCGGUAAUACGGAGGGUGCAAGCGUUAAUCGGAAUACUGGGCGUAAAGCGCACGCAGGCGGUUGAUUGAGUCAGAUGUGAAAUCCCCGGGCUUAACCCGGGAAUUGCAUCUGAUACUGGUCAGCUAGAGUCUUGUAGAGGGGGGUAGAAUUCCAUGUGUAGCGGUGAAAUGCGUAGAGAUGUGGAGGAAGACCGGUGGCGAAGGCGGCCCCCUGGACAAAGACUGACGCUCAGGUGCGAAAGCGUGGGGAGCAAACAGG
rnacentral:rRNA from 1 species